rnacentral:rRNA from 1 species
UGCGUUNUGAACUGGGUGACUAGAGUGUNUCAGAGGGAGGUAGAAUUCCACGUGUAGCAGUGAAAUGCGUAGAGAUGUGGAGGAAUACCGAUGGCGAAGGCAGCNUCCUGGGAUAACACUGACGUUCAUGCCCGAAAGCGUGGGUAGCAAACAGGAUUAGAUACCCUGGUAGUCCACGCCCUAAACGAUGUCGAUUAGCUGUUGGGCAGCAUGACUGCUUAGUAGCGAAGCUAACGCGUGUAAUCGACCGCCUGGGGAGUACGGUCGCAAGAUUAAAACUCAAAGGAAUUGACGGGGACCCGCACAAGCGGUGGAUGAUGUGGAUUAAUUCGAUGCAACGCGAAGAACCUUACCUGGUCUUGACAUGUACGGAACCCUCCAGAGACGGAGGAGUGCCUUCGGGAGCCGUAACACAGGUGCUGCAUGGCUGUCGUCAGCUCGUGUCGUGAGAUGUUGGGUUAAGUCCCGCAACGAGCGCAACCCUUGUCAUUAGUUGCCAUCAUUAAGUUGGGCACUCUAAUGAGACUGCCGGUGACAAGCCGGAGGAAGGUGGGGAUGACGUCAAGUCCUCAUGGCCCUUAUGACCAGGGCUUCACACGUCAUACAAUGGUCGGUACAGAGGGUAGCCAAGCCGCGAGGUGGAGCCAAUCUCACAAAACCGAUCGUAGUCCGGAUUGCACUCUGCAACUCGAGUGCAUGAAGUCGGAAUCGCUAGUAAUCGCAGGUCAGCAUACUGCGGUGAAUACGUUCCCGGGUCUUGUACACACCGCCCGUCACACCAUGGGAGUGGGGGAUACCAGAAGUAGGUAGGGUAACCGCAAGGAGCC